GAUGAACGCUGGCGGCGUGCCUAAUACAUGCAAGUCGAGCGAACGGACGAGAAGCUUGCUUCUCUGAUGUUAGCGGCGGACGGGUGAGUAACACGUGGAUAACCUACCUAUAAGACUGGGAUAACUUCGGGAAACCGGAGCUAAUACCGGAUAAUAUAUUGAACCGCAUGGUUCAAUAGUGAAAGACGGUUUUGCUGUCACUUAUAGAUGGAUCCGCGCUGCAUUAGCUAGUUGGUAAGGUAACGGCUUACCAAGGCAACGAUGCAUAGCCGACCUGAGAGGGUGAUCGGCCACACUGGAACUGAGACACGGUCCAGACUCCUACGGGAGGCAGCAGUAGGGAAUCUUCCGCAAUGGGCGAAAGCCUGACGGAGCAACGCCGCGUGAGUGAUGAAGGUCUUCGGAUCGUAAAACUCUGUUAUUAGGGAAGAACAUAUGUGUAAGUAACUGUGCACAUCUUGACGGUACCUAAUCAGAAAGCCACGGCUAACUACGUG
rnacentral:rRNA from 1 species